rnacentral:rRNA from 1 species
AUGCAACGUUAUGGAUACCAUGACCGAUCACCAUCGAGAAAGAAGAAUUUUGAUAAAUCACUUCGGGUGAGCGGGGCCUUCAAGCGGCCUCAAUACGCCGGGGUUGUAAAUGACAUACCUUUCCUUAUGGGAAAUGCCGCCUCCUUACUAAAAAGGAAUAGAAUCAAGUUAUUUUUACCAAAGAAUCAGUUUAAAUUGCCCCCACCAUCCUCUUGA